GACAGAGGCCCCAAGCGUUAGGCGGAAUCACUGGGCUUAAAGCGUGUGUAGGCGGACGCCUAAGUGUCUUGUGAAAUCCCCCGGCUCACCCGGGGAACUGCUGGGCAUACUGGGCGUCUUGGGCCAACUAGGGGCAGCCGGAACAAGCGGUGGAGCGGUGAAAUGCGCAGAUAUCAGGAGGAACACCGAUGGCGAAGGCAGCUCGCUGGGACGGUACUGACGCUGAGGCGCGAAAGCGUGGGGAGCAAACAGG
rnacentral:rRNA from 1 species